AUUGAACGCUGGCGGCAUGCCUUACACAUGCAAGUCGAACGGCAGCACGGGUGCUUGCACCUGGUGGCGAGUGGCGAACGGGGGAGUAAUACAUCGGAACGUACCUUAUCGUGGGGGAUAACGCAGCGAAAGCUGUGCUAAUACCGCAUACGCACUGCGGGGGAAAGCGGGGGAUCGAAGGACCUCGCGCGAUUACAGCGGCCGAUGCCUGAUUAGCUUGUUGGGGGGGUAAAAGCCCACCAAGGCGACGAUCAGUAGCUGGUCUGAGAGGACGAUCAGCCACACUGGGACUGAGACAAGGCCCAGACUCCUACGGGAGGCAGCAGUGGGGAAUUUUGGACAAUGGGGGCAACCCUGAUCCAGCAAUGCCGCGUGAGUGAAGAAGGCCUUCGGGUUGUAAAGCUCUUUUGUCAGGGAAGAAACACCGGCUCUAACACAGUCCGGGAAUGACGGUACCUGAAGAAUAAGCACCGGCUAACUACGUGCCAGCAGCCGCCGUAA
rnacentral:rRNA from 1 species